rnacentral:rRNA from 1 species
CCUACGGGAGGCAGCAGUGGGGAAUAUUGGACAAUGGGCGAAAGCCUGAUCCAGCCAUGCCGCGUGUGUGAAGAAGGCCUUCGGGUUGUAAAGCACUUUCAGUGGGGAAGAAAGCCUUGGGGCUAAUACCCUCGAGGAAGGACAUCACCCACAGAAGAAGCACCGGCUAACUCCGUGCCAGCAGCCGCGGUAAUACGGAGGGUGCGAGCGUUAAUCGGAAUUACUGGGCGUAAAGCGCGCGUAGGCGGUCUGAUAAGCCGGUUGUGAAAGCCCCGGGCUCAACCUGGGAACGGCAUCCGGAACUGUCAGGCUAGAGUGCAGGAGAGGAAGGUAGAAUUCCCGGUGUAGCGGUGAAAUGCGUAGAGAUCGGGAGGAAUACCAGUGGCGAAGGCGGCCUUCUGGAUUGACACUGACGCUGAGGUGCGAAAGCGUGGGUAGCAAACAGGAUUAGAUACCCCUGUAGUC